rnacentral:misc_RNA from 1 species
UUAGUUGAGUUGAGUUGAGUUUUAGCUACAAGGAUGCUAGACAAGUUGAACUUGUGAGUGGUGAAGGGUAAGAGGUGAGAGGGGAGUUGGGCAAUGGAGAUGACAAGACUAGGAGUUGGAGAAGGGAGGCAACUCAGACAAGAAACUCAAGGAUAGGGAUCUAGAGAAACCGGAAAGGAUAGGAGUUAGAGACUUGUGGUCAAUUUCUUUUCUUUAUUCAAUACAGAAUGGCAGUGUUUAGGAGAGGCUGAUUACUGAUGUUAAAAUGGUGGUAUUUUAGUGGGGCAGCAAUGCUAUAUUUAAUAUAUAUUACCGUAUUAUUUAUUUAUAUUAAUAUAUAUUGCGGUUCAUUUUUGGUUUUGGUUUUCUUGACAUGAAAAUUCAAAAAUUGAACUAAUUGGAAAUUCUAAAACUCAAAAUCAAACUUGAAAACCGAAAUAAGGUGAUUUCAUUUUGUUGUUUGGUUUAAACUAAAUAGUGCUCUCCCCUAUUGAUGGCAAGUUGAAGUGCAUGGAAUGACUAGUUGAUUCAUCUGGGUUUGAAGUGUAUGAUAGUCAAGAAUAUAACUUAGGAAUCCUUAUAAUUUUUUUUGCAAUACCUGUCUAUGUGUUUUGUAACAACCCGCCUUUUCGGGAUGGCAGUGGCCACAUAGAGAACGUUGAGGUAAAAGGGCUAGUUGUUGCAUGAGGUCCAGAGCAGGGGCAGGAAUGAACCGAGUCCUAUAUUGGAAAGGGAGGGGAAAGUGAUGGGCUACAUAAGUGGCAAGUCUUCUAACCUGGAUAGCGCGCUUUUAGGUUUCAAAGAAGGGGUCCAAGGGACAAAGCCGUAAGGUCCAGUGGGUCAAAGUGGACAAUACUAUUCAGUUCCAAGAGGGGCAUUACAAUAUGGUAUCAGAGCCGACCUCCCUCAAUACAGUGUGGUUCAAGGACGAACCAAGCGGAAGCUAGUAGGCCUGUAACAUCUCGUGCGGAAGGAAGGUAUCGGCUGGAGGGGCAGAACUGAACCGAGUCCCACAUUAGAAAUGGAGGAGAAAGUGAAAGGCCAUAUAAGGUAGCAAACCUCUAACCUAGAUAGCGCGCUUUUGGACCUUAAAAAAAGGGUCCAAGGGACAAAGCGGUGAGGUCCGGUGGGCCAAAGCGGACAAUACUAUCUAGUGGGCCAGGAAGGGGCGUUACAUGUUUGUUAUGUAUCAGACUCGUACUUAAUCCAGAAACAGAGAAAAGAAGUAGAAAAGAAGAGGAGGAGGGGGGGUGGAAUUUAGAGAGAAUAUAGAGAAGAAGAGAGA